rnacentral:other from 1 species
AAGUUCCUGAGAUGUUCGACACUCCUGUAAUUUUGAACCUACAUGAUUAAACAGGGAUUCCUACAUUUGUAGGUGGAUGUCAAGCCGCCGUAUGUAGCGGAAGGCAGAAGCUUACAUGCGGUUACCCACCUAGCUUUGCUAGGAGUCAAAAUGCAGGAAACGGCAUUUCGGGUAUAUA